AAGCUACCGCUGAAGAUGAGCCUGUGUCCUAUUAGUUAGUUGGCAGGGUAAUGGCCUACCAAGACAAAGAUGGGUAUCCGGCCUGAGAGGGUGUACGGACACACUGGAACUGAAACACGGUCCAGACUCCUACGGGAGGCAGCAGUGGGGAAUAUUGCACAAUGGGCGCAAGCCUGAUGCAGCGACGCCGCGUGGAGGAUGACGGUCUUCGGAUUGUAAACUCCUGUUAAGUGGGAAGAAAGACCAGUAUCUAAUACAUGCUGGGGAUGACGGUACCACUAGAGAAAGCACCGGCAAACUUCGUG
rnacentral:rRNA from 1 species